GAUGAACGCUGGCGGCGUGCCUAAUACAUGCAAGUCGAGCGAACGGACGAGAAGCUUGCUUCUCUGAUGUUAGCGGCGGACGGGUGAGUAACACGUGGAUAACCUACCUAUAAGACUGGGAUAACUUCGGGAAACCGUAGCUAAUACCGGAUAAUAUUUUGAACCGCAUGGUUCAAAAGUGAAAGACGGUCUUGCUGUCACUUAUAGAUGGAUCCGCGCUGCAUUAGCUAGUUGGUAAGGUAACGGCUUACCAAGGCAACGAUGCAUAGCCGACCCGAGAGGGUGAUCGGCCACACUGGAACUGAGACACGGACCAGACUCCUACGGGAGGCAGCAGUAGGGAAUCUUCCGCAAUGGGCGAAAGCCUGACGGAGCAACGCCGCGUGAGUGAUGAAGGUCUUCGGAUCGUAAAACUCUGUUAUUAGGGAAGAACAUAUGUGUAAGUAACUGUGCACAUCUUGACGGUACCUAAUCAGAAAGCCACGGCUAACUACGUG
rnacentral:rRNA from 1 species